rnacentral:tRNA from 1 species
AGCCUCAUAGCCAAGUGGUAAGGCAACGGACUUUGACUCCGUGAUCCCUAGUUCAAAUCUAGGUGGGGCUGCCA